rnacentral:rRNA from 1 species
GACGAACGCUGGCGGCAUGCCUAACACAUGCAAGUCGAGCGAGUAGAUCCCUUCGGGGUGAAGCUAGCGGCGGACGGGUGAGUAACACGUUGGCAACCUGCCUCAUAGAGGGGAAUAGCCUUCCGAAAGGAAGAUUAAUACCGCAUAAGAUUGUAGUACCGCAUGGUAUAGCAAUUAAAGUAGUAAUCAGCUUUGGGAUGGGCCCGCGGCGCAUUAGCAAGUUGGUGAGGUAACGGCUCACCAAGGCGACGAUGCGUAGCCGACCUGAGAGGGUGAUCGGCCACAUUGGGACUGAGACACGGCCCAGACUCCUACGGGAGGCAGCAGUGGGGAAUAUUGCACAAUGGGGGAAACCCUGAUGCAGCAAAGCCGCGUGAGUGAUGACGGCCUUCGGGUUGUAAAGCUCUGUCUUCGGGGACGAUAAUGACGGUACCCGAGGAGGAAGCCACGGCUAACUACGUGCCAGCCGCCGCAGUAA